GCAGGUGGCAAGCGUUGUCCGGAAUUAUUGGGCGUAAAGCGCGCGCAGGCGGUUCUUUAAGUCUGAUGUGAAAGCCCACGGCUCAACCGUGGAGGGUCAUUGGAAACUGGAGAACUUGAGUACAGAAGAGGAAAGCGGAAUUCCACGUGUAGCGGUGAAAUGCGUAGAGAUGUGGAGGAACACCAGUGGCGAAGGCGGCUUUCUGGUCUGUAACUGACGCUGAGGCGCGAAAGCGUGGGGAGCAAACAGGAUUAGAUACCCUGGUAGUCCACGCCGUAAACGAUGAGUGCUAAGUGUUAGGGGGUUUCCGCCCCCCUUAGUGCUGCAGCUAACGCAUUAAGCACUCCGCCUGGGAGUACGGCCGCAAGGCUG
rnacentral:rRNA from 1 species